UAGGGAAUCUUCGGCAAUGGACGAAAGUCUGACCGAGCAACGCCGCGUGAGUGAAGAAGGUUUUCGGAUCGUAAAACUCUGCUGGUAGAGAAGAACGUUGGUGAGAGUGGAAAGCUCAUCAAGUGACGGUAACUACCCAGAAAGGGACGGCUAACUACGUGCUAG
rnacentral:rRNA from 1 species